CNCNGCCAAGGAGUCUAACAUGUGCGCGAGUCAUGGGGUCUUCCGAAACCCAAAGGCACAAUGAAAGUGAAGGCCGCCUCCGGUUGGCCUAGGCAGGAUCCCGUCGACCCUUCGGCGGGCGCACUGCCGGCCCGUCUCGAUAGCAUUGCCUACGAGGCGGAGCAAGAGCGUACACGUUGGGACCCGAAAGAUGGUGAACUAUGCCUGAGUAGGACGAAGCCAGAGGAAACUCUGGUGGAGGUCCGUAGCGAUUCUGACGUGCAAAUCGAUCGUCAAACUUGGGUAUAGGGGCGAAAGACUAAUCGAACCAUCUAGUAGCUGGUUCCCUCCGAAGUUUCCCUCAGGAUAGCUGGCACUGUGUGACAUGCAGUAGCACGUCGGUAAAGCGAAUGAUUAGAGGCCUUGGGGACUAAAUGACCUCAACCUAUUCUCAAACUUUAAAUGGGUGCGAAGUCCGACUCGCUCAGUUGGAGCCGGACAUGGUAUGCAAAGUGCCAAGUGGGCCACUUUUGGUAAGCAGAACUGGCGCUGUGGGAUGAACCAAACGUCCGGUUAAGGCGCCCGAUACUGACGCUCAUCAGAUACCAUAAAAGGUGUUGGUUGAUACAGACAGCAGGACGGUGGCCAUGGAAGUCGGAACCCGCUAAGGGAGUNNU
rnacentral:rRNA from 1 species